CCUACGGGUGGCUGCAGUCGAGAAUCAUUCACAAUGGGGGAAACCCUGAUGGGGCGACGCCGCGUGGGGGAAUGAAGGUCUUCGGAUUGUAAACCCCUGUCAUGUGGGAGCAAAUUAAAAAGAUAGUACCACAAGAGGAAGAGACGGCUAACUCUGUGCCAGCAGCCGCGGUAAUACAGGGGGGUGCAAGCGUUGUCCGGAAUCAUUGGGCGUAAAGAGUUCGUAGGUGGCACGUUAAGUCUGGUGUUAAAGGCGGAAGCUCAACUUCCGUAGGGCACUGGAUACUGGCGAGCUUGAAUGCGGUAGAGGUAAAGGGAAUUCCUGGUGUAGCGGUGAAAUGCGUAGAUAUCAGGAGGAACAUCGGUGGCGUAGGCGCUUUACUGGGCCGUAAUUGACACUGAGGAACGAAAGCCGGGGUAGCAAAUGGGAUUAGAUACCCUAGUAGUC
rnacentral:rRNA from 1 species